UACGGAGGGGGCUAGCGUUGUUCGGAAUUACUGGGCGUAAAGCGCACGUAGGCGGCUUUGUAAGUUAGAGGUGAAAGCCCGGGGCUCAACUCCGGAAUUGCCUUUAAGACUGCAUCGCUAGAAUUGUGGAGAGGUGAGUGGAAUUCCGAGUGUAGAGGUGAAAUUCGUAGAUAUUCGGAAGAACACCAGUGGCGAAGGCGACUACUGGACACAUAUUGACGCUGAGGUGCGAAAAGCGUGGGGAGCAAACAGG
rnacentral:rRNA from 1 species